GUAAAAAGGCAAUACAUUGGACAGCCCCGGUCCUCCGAGGCAGCAAAGCCUCAAGGUCACACGGGAUAAAUUGCCGAGCGAUUACAGUCUCCUUGCGUUAGUUGCGUGGGAGGAAGGGCUUUUUGCGCCUGCGCAGCUAGUACCCUUCUCUAUGCCUGAAGCAUUUCUGCCCAGGGAGUGGCGUAAAAACGGGGGUGGAGUCUAACCACAGCAGUCAUUGGAUGCCCCAGGGCGUCCUGACUCCCUGGCCUGAGCUGGGUGUUUGCUCUCAGUAUUAAAGGCAGCCAAUAGAACACCAGUACUCAAAACCUUGGAGAACAGCACCUGUAUAUGAGUGGCCAGGUGUCUGCAGGUUAACUUAAUGAGAAGUAGUAACUGAGUCCCUGAACCCAAAUGCAGCUCUUUCCUGUUCAGGUACUCUGCUCUUGGAUGUGCUCCCAGUGGCUGAAGAGGCUUCAGUUUUCCUGAUGCAUAAAGUGUUGUUCUAUUUUAUGAGUAGGACAUCAUUUUCAUGAGUUAGAACAACUACAUUGGGACAAGUAGACAUAGGGUAUUAUCAGAGCUGAAGGGCAGAACUGGACAAAUCUCAGACACAUUUCAGAAAUCAAGAGACUUAAUAAUUAGUUAUUAAAGUUGGAAGUGGGUUCCCCACAUUCCUUUUUCCAAGUAAUUUUCCUACCCCUACUUAUAUUUUCAGGUUUCUUCGGUUGCCCCCAGGUAUUGGAGUGCUGGUGUUCUAUAUUCUUAAAGUCCAGGGAGGGCAGAAUGCUGUUCAGGAGCUCUGCAGAGGAGAGAGGGACAGGGGUACGGGGAGAGAUUUGCUGCAUUUCUAAAAUAUCUCUGAAAACAAGCUGUAUUUC